ACCCUUAGAUGUUCGGGGCCGCACGCGCGCUACACUGAUGGGGACAGCGUGUUUGCCAUUCCUGGUCCGGCAGGAUUGGGCAAUCCGUUGAACCCCCGUCGUGAUUGGGAUCGGAGCUUGUAACUAUUCUCCGUAAACGAGGAAUUCCCAGUAAGCGCAAGUCAUCAGCUUGCGUUGAUUACGUCCCUGCCCUUUGUACACACCGCCCGUCGCUACUACCGAUUGGAUGGCUUAGUGAGACCCUCGGACCGAUAGGCUGUCGCCGCGGCAACGUGGCGACCGGCCCGUCGGGAAGAAGGUCAAACUUGACUGUCUAGAGGAAGUAAAAGUCGUAACA
rnacentral:rRNA from 1 species